GAGUCGUGUAAGGGAUGGCACACACAAUGAAGACGACAUCAAAACAUUGAAUACUAGAAAUAAUUGCUCUCCACCUCCAUCCACUUUACAUAUCUUUGCAACAUAUGUGCAAGUAGAUAACUAUAAUCUUCAGAAACUUGAUGAACUUUCUGGACAGAUUUUAUCCAUCAAUUCAAUUGACAUAGUUCCUGAAACAAUGAAAAAUAGGAAAUUUCCAGAAGAUCAAAGAUUCACUGGUGGAUUAACUUCAGUUCUACAACUUAAACUUGGAUGUCGCAUUAUGUUGACUAGAAAUCUAGAUGUUGCAGAUGGGUUAUCAAAUGGAGCUCAAGGUACACUAACUGGCAUCUUGAAAAAUGCUAAUAACAACCAAGUUAUUGCAAUAUUGGUAAGAGAAAAGGGCAUGAAACACUCAUUAAAAGCAAGUAUGAUCUGAACCCCUUCCCCAAAAAUUCAACACCAAUUGAACGAGCAGAAGCGAGCUUUUUCAUGUCAAAGACUAAAAAGAAUGUAUGCCUGACAUCAUUCUUGAUCCUGCCUUUUCAAAUGCAGAUAUCAUUUGCAUAUGUGAAUCAAAUAUCAGACAAAAUGAUUUACAUCAAAUUAAUGGAUUUCAUUGCCAUGAGCUCUUCAUGGACAACCAAACAAAGACUCAUGGACUCCUUCUAUAUGUAAGAUCAGCAUUAAAAGAUCAAUCAGUAAUGAAGCUUUUGAACUCCUUGAGGUCUCUGUGCAAAGAAAUACAGUAUCUUUCAACAUUGUCCUUCUUUAUCGAUCCCCAUCAUUUCUUACCUCGGCAUUUACACAAAAACUCAGUGACUUAUUUCCAACAUCAAACAAGUCAACAUCAUUUGUUCUAGGUGACUUUAAUGUGAAUCAAAAAAGUAUGCCAGCUGUUUAUAACAGACUUGUCCAACACUUUCAUACCAUACAGUAUGUCCAGUACAUCAAACAAGCUACCACAGUGUAUGGCUUGACACUAGAUCUGCUCUUUGCAAAUGCAACAAUGCCAGUAGAAGUUCACAUCUCUGGAACAUAUUAUUCUGACCAUACAGCAGUUGUCAUUCAGGCUAAAAUCUAAGAUAUAACUACAUGACUUGAAUGUAUGCUCUUUUAUUAAAUUUGAAACUUAUAAUGACAGCUUCUUUUGUUUUUGCUUUUUGAAAAACUGUUUAUGAUAUAUAUUAUGUCUGUCGCUCAGUGACAUUUACAUGUAUUUUCAUAAUGUCUGUCCUUAGUACAAGUAUUAAAUUUUAAGGUCUACCUUCCAUUGUUGUAGAUCUACACUACUGCACCAUUGUGGGAUUAUUUUUGACAGAGCAGAUACUGAUACUUCUGCAGAAAUUAUACAUUGAAAAACUCUCUCAAAAGUACAACAAAUAUAAUUCAGUUAUUAUGGACAAAAGCCCAGGUGGGAUUCAAACCUGGGAUUUGGUAUCCACAAGUCAAAUACUUAAACAAUCUAGCUUUAGUAAUAGUUGACCAUACAUCUUAACAAACAUUUUCACAAAACAAUUGAAUUGUCAGAUGCAAUGUUUUAAAAACUUUAAGCAUGAUGUAUAAAGCUACCAUAAAAAGGUUAAGAUUAAAUAGUUUAAGGGCCUUGAACUUAAAAUAAAAAGAUCUUUUGUACCAACAAGUUUAAAACUAAAUGUUAUUAUAACAUUUUAAUUUUGGCUGCAUGCGGGGGCAUUCGUGGCGUGACAACACAUUUCUACAUGUAGUCUUGUUUCUAUUUAUAGAAUUGCGUGUUUCUAUUUAUAGAAUUUUCAAUUUUUAGAAUUGCGUGUUUCUAUUUAUAAAUAUGUAUAAAUUAGUAUAUUUAAAGAUUUUGUUCAAACAUUUCUUUGUUUGCUUUUAGAGAAAGUCAAAAGUCGAGCGUUGCCCCCGUCCGGAGGUGGCUCUUGUUAACUCUCACAAUGGUGAUUAUUUGUGCCAAGUUAUUUUAAAUCUUACAUAAGUUCAAAAAAAGUUGGAGAACAUAUAAUCCUUGACUUUGGGUGUAGCAACCUGGAUGUUGCACUCUGCAGAUUUGUGUCAUGGUGGUGAUCAUUUGUGCCAAGUAAUUUUAAAACCUUUGAAUUGUCAAUAAGUUAUAGAGCUGACAUGACAUGAAUAGAUGUUUUUACAUUGGACCUUUGAGUGUGACCAUGACCUUCAGGGUUGUGAUUUGAUUAUUGUGCUUUGCCAAUGAUGUCAUAAUGGUGAUCAUUUCUGCCAAGUAAUAGUGUCUAACAACAAACUUGAUGAGGUUAAAACCCAUGAAGCUAUCAAUGAAUAUGACGAUAUUGUCGAAUGUGAUGAUGUAAAUGACGACAUAAAUAUAAGCAACAUAGCUGAUACCAAUGAAGUGUCUACCAACAAACUUGAUGAGGUUAAAACCCAUGAAGCUAUCAAUGAAUAUGACGAUAUUGUCGAAUGUGAUGCUAUAAAUGACGACAUAAAUAGUAGCAACAUAGCUGAUACCAAUGAAGUGUCUAACAACAAACUUGAUUAGGUUAAAACCCAUGAAGCUAUCAAUGAAUAUGACGAUAUUGUCGAAUGUGAUGAUGUAAAUGACGACAUAAAUAUAAGCAACAUAGCUGAUACCAAUGAAGUGUCUACCAACAAACUUGAUGAGGUUAAAACCAAUGAAGCUAUCAAUGAAUAUGACGAUUGUCAAUGUCACUCUGCGGAUCAUCACUAUUUUGGUAAGUGUCAGCAUUACCUUGAUUAACAGGAUCCAAAACCAGACUAAAAUAUCUGUCGAGUCGUGACUCAAUAGAUAUAUCUGGUGCCUCUAUAACUUCAUUUUCACUUUCAUUUCGGAUGGCUUCAGAAUUACACGUGUUUGACUGAUGUGACAAACCGAAACU